CCCGUCCCUCAUGCGGCGUCAUCUUGUGAACCUCCCCAGGGCCGGAAGGCAGCAAGGAUAAGCGGGCUCUGGCGGGUGCGUGGGGGACCCAGCC
rnacentral:SRP_RNA from 1 species